CCUACGGGAGGCAGCAGUGGGGGAUAUUGCACAAUGGGGGAAACCCUGAUGCAGCGACGCCGCGUGAGUGAAGAAGUAUUUCGGUAUGUAAAGCUCUAUCAGCAGGGAAGAAAAUGACAGUACCUGACCAAGAAGCCCCGGCUAACUACGUGCCAGCAGCCGCGGUAAUACGUAGGGGGCAAGCGUUAUCCGGAUUUACUGGGUGUAAAGGGAGCGUAGACGGUUAUGUAAGUCUGGAGUGAAAGCCCGGGGCUCAACCCCGGGACUGCUUUGGAAACUGUGUUGCUGGAGUGUUGGAGAGGCAAGCGGAAUUCCUAGUGUAGCGGUGAAAUGCGUAGAUAUUAGGAAGAACACCAGUGGCGAAGGCGGCUUGCUGGACAGUAACUGACGUUGAGGCUCGAAAGCGUGGGGAGCAAACAGGAUUAGAUACCCCUGUAGUC
rnacentral:rRNA from 1 species